GGGGAAUAUUGCACAAUGGGCGCAAGCCUGAUGCAGCGACGCCGCGUGAGCGAAGAAGGUUUUCGGAUCGUAAAGCUCUGUCCUCUGGGAAGAAAAAAUGACGGUACCAGAGGAGGAAGCCCCGGCUAACUACGUGCCAGCAGCCGCGGUAAUACGUGAGGGGGCGAGCGUUGUCCGGAUUUACUGGGCGUAAAGGGUGCGUAGGCGGCCUUGUAAGUCAGAUGUGAAAGGCUACGGCUCAACCGUAGUAAGCAUUUGAAACUGCAGGGCUUGAGUGCAGGAGAGGAGAGUGGAAUUCCUAGUGUAGCGGUGAAAUGCGUAGAUAUUAGGAGGAACACCAGUGGCGAAGGCGACUCUCUGGACUGUAACUGACGCUGAGGCACGAAAGCGUGGGGAGCAAACA
rnacentral:rRNA from 2 species